rnacentral:rRNA from 1 species
AUUGAACGCUGGCGGCAGGCUUAACACAUGCAAGUCGAGCGGGCGAGGUUGCUUCGGUAACUGAGCUAGCGGCGGACGGGUGAGUAAAGCUUAGGAAUCUGCCUAUAGUGGGGGACAACAUUUCGAAAGGGAUGCUAAUACCGCAUACGUCCUACGGGAGAAAGCAGGGGACCUUCGGGCUUUGCGCUAAUAGAUGAGCAUAAGUCGGAUUAGCUAGUUGGUGGGGUAAAGGCCUACCAAGGCGACGAUCUGUAGCGGGUCUGAGAGGAUGACCCGCCACACUGGGACUGAGACACGGCCCAGACUCCUACGGGAGGCAGCAGUGGGGAAUAUUGGACAAUGGGGGGAACCCUGAUCCAGCCAUGCCGCGUGUGUGAAGAAGGCCUUUUGGUUGUAAAGCACUUUAAGUGGGGAGGAGGCUCUCUUGGUUAAUACCUAAGAAGAGUGGACGUUACCCACAGAAUAAGCACCGGCUAACUCUGUGCCAGCCGCCGCCGUAAGAC